rfam:Brachypodium distachyon strain Bd21 chromosome 2, whole genome shotgun sequence.
UUUCUACUCCCUCCGUCCCAUAUUAAGUGACUUUCUAUUACAUGUAUCUAGACGCUUUUUAGGCAUAGAUACAUUCAUAUUUGGGCAAAUUGGAAUCACUUAAUGUGGGACGGAGGGAGUAGAAG